rnacentral:lncRNA from 12 species
UGCUAACUGCUCUUGGAGAAAAAAAAACAAAUAAGUGGACUAAAAUGAUAAGGGAAAGGAAUGUGUGCAAAUGGGUUUGGCUAACUGCUUUUUCUGCAGGACAAGGGCUGAACCUGCGUGAGCUAAGCGAGAGGUGGAGACAAAAAGCCAACAACCAAUAUACCACAGUGAGUCACAAAUCAAAUCAAAUCCUCAGAACUUUCUGUCAAAGCUAUAAAGAACUUGCCACAAGAAAAGCCACUACAGCAGAAACUUCAGAUAAGUACAGAAAUGAGGAAUUCACAACAGGAAAGUUCUAAUUCCAGGACUGGCAGAGGUAAG